AUUGAACGCUGGCGGCAGGCCUAACACAUGCCAGUCGAGCGGAUGAAGGGAGCUUGCUCCUGGAUUCAGCGGCGGACGGGUGAGUAAUGCCUAGGAAUCUGCCUGGUAGUGGGGGAUAACGUCCGGAAACGGGCGCUAAUACCGCAUACGUCCUGAGGGAGAAAGUGGGGGUUCUUCGGACCUCACGCUAUCAGAUGAGCCUAGGUCGGAUUAGCUAGUUGGUGGGGUAAAGGCCUACCAAGGCGACGAUCCGUAACUGGUCUGAGAGGAUGAUCAGUCACACUGGAACUGAGACACGGUCCAGACUCCUACGGGAGGCAGCAGUGGGGAAUAUUGGACAAUGGGCGAAAGCCUGAUCCAGCCAUGCCGCGUGUGUGAAGAAGGUCUUCGGAUUGUAAAGCACUUUAAGUUGGGAGGAAGGGCAGUAAGUUAAUACCUUGCUGUUUUGACGGUACCAACAGAAUAAGCACCGGCUAACUUCGUG
rnacentral:rRNA from 1 species